rnacentral:rRNA from 1 species
CGGAGCCGAAGCGAAAGCGAGUCUGAAUAGGGCGAGCAGUUACUUGACGUAGACCCGAAACCAAGUGACCUACCCAUGUCCAGGUUGAAGGCUAGGUAAAACUGGCUGGAGGACCGAACCCACGUAAGUUAAAAAUUGCGGGGAUGAGGUGUGGGUAGCGGUGAAAUUCCAAACGAACUUGGAGAUAGCUGGUUCUCUCCGAAAUAGCUUUAGG